GACGAACGCUGGCGGCAUGCCUAACACAUGCAAGUCGAACGGAACUUGUUGAAUGAAGUUUUCGGAUGGAUUUUUGAUAAGUUUAGUGGCGGACGGGUGAGUAACGCGUGAGCAACCUGCCUUUCAGGAGGGGGACAACAGUUGGAAACGACUGCUAAUACCGCAUGAUGUGUCGGGAUCGCAUGAUCCUGACACCAAAGUAUUUUAUCGCUAGAAAGAUGGGCUCGCGUACGAUUAGAUAGUUGGUGAGGUAACGGCUCACCAAGUCGACGAUCGUUAGCCGGACUGAGAGGUUGAACGGCCACAGUUGGGACUGAGACA
rnacentral:rRNA from 1 species